ensembl:lncRNA
AAAUAAUGACCUAGCAUAUGGAACAGCUAAACACACUUCAAUGGGUUACUUUUUUGGAUUAAUCACAUGACAACCAAUGACAAAAUAAAAAAGCCAAACAAGAAAACAAGACAAAUGAACAUGAACCAUUGAAUUAAUAACAAGAUAACAAGACUAUUGGCUUGUUCGAGAUGAACUACACUAGCUGCCACCGGCUGGCAAAAUCUGCUGGUAGCAGGCAGGGGAGAAGUAAAGAGAUGUCUGUCAGCGCUCCCACUCAAUAUUAAGCCCCUCACAGGUAUUUGAAGCCCAUCUCUCACCGGAUGUGAUCCAGGCUCCCCAGCAGCGCUGUGAGUAAUGAUCCUCCAUCAGUCUUGCUCUUCAGCACUACCGCAGGGAGGAUCCAUAAUUACAGCAUCUCUGCUUCGGCCUGCUACAACCGCCUCGCCGACAGUGACAAUAUUGAGAUGAUGGCAGAAAUAAUUUCCUUUGAAAUUAAUGAAUGGUAAAUAAUUACUCUACAUACCCGGAGAAGCUGCUGGAUGGGAAUUGGAAGAAAGGAAAGAAAUAUGAAUAGACAAUCUCGACACCUCAAGGGGCAGAGGAGGGCAGGCACGAGGAAGAGAUGGAGGAACUCUUUCAUGGCCUUCAGGGAAGAAGAUAUCUGUUUGUUGCGACUGAACGCUGCUUACUUCUGCAUGGAGUUCCUCCCCUCUGUGAGCGCUACAAUCCUCAUUCAUUCAUCAAGAGAAUCAAAGAGCAGAGGGCCCGGUGUACCCAGCAUUAGCAUAUCAAAGCCACUCUUAUUUCUAAUUCCAUCUAAAGUAAUUGUUAAAUGAACAUUGUUAACUGCUGACUAGGGCUAGGAUAUUGGAAAAAAACAUCUACAUUCAAGAGGAGGUAGCGGUGGUGUGAUCAAAGGUAUGGUAAUAUCUGCAUAAAACAGCGAGGAGCUUUGACAACACUGAGCAGGAGGUACCAAGCAAGACUUUUUUUGUUUUGUUUUAGACAGGGUGGAUGGGAGAUGUGACUUUUAAUCUCACAAUUGUGGCUUUUGAUUUCACAGCAUGACUUUUUUCUUUCAUUGCAAUUUCAUCUACAUUGUUUUUAAUGUAAGAG